GCAACAAAGGCUCCCUGUUAACAGCACGAAUAAAUUGGCAGUUUUGGCUUCCAGCACUCGUUGCCAACACAACCUUGAGAUUGAGCCCUGGCCAAAUUGAGUUGUGGAUUAAUACCUUCCGGCAAAGAAUAACGACAUUCAACGGGCAGUGAGAACAAAGGAACUCCAGGGACAAAUAGUUAUGCGUAAAGUCGGCCGUCGCGUGCUGAGUUUUUUGUGUUGCACCGCAACCAUACUCCACCCAACAACCACUGGAUAGUGCAGAAGAAGAGGGUGAUAGGAUAGAUAGAAAUCAAGGAAACAAAAUAGGGCCAAAGCCUUGAAGCGUUGAAGCAUUUGUUAUUGGGACACAUUACCAGUUCCUGUUGAGCACCUCUGGUUGGCGUCUUAACCAUACAAAGUGUGCAUAUAGACU
rnacentral:sRNA from 2 species